rnacentral:lncRNA from 1 species
AUGAGCCUUAUCCAGGCACUGGCUGCUCCACAGGUCCUGCAAGAAGGAAUGCACGAAAAAUCAGAAUUCUUGAUGGCAGGGGAGAAGACUCAUAUCCAGCCUUGUCCUGGAUCUCCUUCUCCUUCUUCAAACCUCCUUCAGCCCACUUGGACUGUACCUUGUGCUUGGCAAGCACACCAGCUGCAGACUUCGUGCACCCAGGGGUGCAGAAAAGCAGCAGCCCUGCCCUUGGAACCUGGGGCUGCACAUGGAGAUAGCAGAGCUCUCGGGAAGCUGCAGCAGCGCCAAGCACACCCAGCCAGGCUGACCUCACCUCCUGAACACACAGCAGCACUGUCCUGCAACCCUGCACACACAUCAGCACUGUCCUGCAAUCCUGCACACACACCAGCACUGUCCUGCAAUCCUGCACACACACCAGCACUGUCCUGCAAACCCUGCCUGAGGUGUGCAUCAACCCUGUCUGCUGGAGAAAAGCCCCCUGUGGUGGCAGGUCCCCAGAGGAGCAGGAUGAGAUGUGACCCCACAUGGGAACCUGCUCAAGCAAUGCUAAACCUCUUCCCAAGGAGGGCAGCAUCACCUCUGUGCAAAAGGCUGCUUCGUGGGGAACUGAAAUGGGGGAAAUCUGCCUGGCUGCCAUCACAGCACAGACUGGUGCAAAGAAAGUCUUGUCUGGGGAGCUAA